AUUCAGUCUUAGGGAUUGCUUUCAUUCAGCUAGGCAAAAAGGCUUUGAGCAGCCCUACAAUCGCCUUCCUCUCAUUUAUUUGUGCUAGAAUUAAGGUUUAUUUGUUUUCUGUUUUCUUCGUCUUCAGAUUGUUUCUCUGUCUUCAUCCAUUUCGCAAACCCUUUCCUCUGUAUCUCAGAAGGAAGGACCUCCAGGGCCUACAUGUCUGCAGCCCGCACAGCCUCCUUUGAAUGCAUGUCUCUCCGUCUAACUGGAGCUUCUGAAUAUCUCUCAAGCACUCUGGAGGUGGAAGCAGAAGAGUCAGAAGUUCAAGGUUAUCUUCAGUUACACGAGGAGAUCAAGGCCAUCCUGAGCUACAGGGACACUUGUUAUCAGUUUUAAAUCGUAAAUAAGGAAGCAAAAGUGUAAACGGAGAGUGACCACAUAGAUAUUGUGACUUAAAGCCUGGUUUUAAGGAUGUGUCCCAAGUUCUCUAUCAAUCUGCUCUUUCAGACUUUUUACUUCAUGGUAUAUGAAAAGAUGAUUCAAGACUCAAGAGACUAUAGUCUUUUAUACUAAUCCUUAAAAGGACAAACAGUUCUACCAACUGCAACUUUCUCAUCUGUAACACAGACACGAGCUAAGUAAGAGGCUGACUGAAGUAGUCCUUGGGCGAGGCUUCCCUGGGCUCCGUCGUCACCAAGAGCUUUGGAUGCUUCUCCAGACAUCACAGAACCCAUCUUCUUCUGCUUCCAUUUGGCACUCGCAUGCCAACAUCCAGGACACUGCACUCUGCUCUUAAGAUAUCUCUCAGGAACUCAAAGAAUGAUGCUAACUCCCUGAGCUCCCAAGAGUGAUUAAAGUCCACUUUGAAGAUCCUGCAAGUCGUGCUACUUGAGAGAAGAACUCCCCACCUUGCACAGAAGUGGGGAGAACCUUACGGGUCAGUGCUCACAUAUGGAAUACAGUUAGAGGCCAGAAGAAGGAAAGGAGUCUGUGUCUCACCGUACUAGUCGGGUUGAGAUUCGUCUUACAUUCCCGCUAUGACUCUGCUUCUUUUCUUCGUGUAACAUUUCUUUGCCGAAGUAGUUUUCUCGGAACAAUAAUCAAACAGGAAGCAACUUAAAGGGAGGACAUGUUUGUUCCGUGUUAUAAUUUAAGGGGAUGCAGCCCACCACGGGAAGAGAGACACAGUGCCAUCAAGCUUUUACAUCUGUCGAGAAAUAAGAAAAUGAGGAAUUCACUUUCUUCCUCUUUGCUUUGGUGAUAUAGUCUCAGACUCAGACCCAAGAAACAUUGUCUUCAAGGAAAAGCUUGCCUUACUUCUACCCCAAAGUCAACUUCCAUUUACAAAGAGGAAGAGUGUGUGGAACUGGAGGAGGGUGGAGAGCAAGCUAUCCAAUAUGCUCCUCUUCGACCUACCCUGGCUGUGUCUGCUCAGGAGUGCUCACCCACCGUCUCUGAGAAGUCAUGUCACCUGCAAAUUCUGCAGAUGGAGAACUUCGUGUUAAUCCCUGGGCUCCUGGGAAAUCAGAAUCUCUACAGUAUUCGUUAUACACAGAGUUUAGCUCAUGUGUCCCUCAAUUCUCCGCUGUCCAUGAGAAUUCCACACCGUAUGGAAAUAGAGAAACCCUCAAGGGUGCCAGCUCAGUGUUUGUUCGCUCUGGCCAGCCCUCUGUUCUUUCAAAGUGAGGCUCUAGAGCUCGGUGUCCUGCCAGAAUUCCAAAUGGGGCAGUGGAAUGUGGGCUCUGAGCCCCGAGUGCUUGCUGACACCCACUGCCACUCCCUCAAACAAAACCCAGGAUGAGAAAAUAGGAUGGUGCUUUUUCUUGCUUCACAUUCUCCUGAAACUCAAAGAACAUGAUGUCAUCUCCUACUUCCUCUACCAGCCUGAACUUCCUUUACAGUCAACUCAGCCCUGCUGGCCUUGCCUCGCAUAUAUUAGAAGAGCAAAUGGAAGGGCGGAUGUAACGUGCCAUGAGGGCAUCUGGACUAACAGAGAGAUGGAAGAAUAUAUUUCUGGAUGUGGUCAUUGAGCUACUGACUAGCCACGCCUGUAGGGGGCUGGCUUAGUUUCUCUUGUGAAUUAAUACACUUGCUCACUGCCCCUGCUGUGCUGUCCUUCUGAAACAUUCCUAGCCCACCAAGAUAGGUGGAUAACUUGGUGAAUUUGGCCAAGGUGUUAGAAGGAACUACUGGCAUUAUUACCCCAAGGUAACAAGUU
rnacentral:lncRNA from 1 species